rnacentral:rRNA from 1 species
GUUUGAUCCUGGCUCAGAUUGAACGCUGGAGGUAUGCUUAACACAUGCAAGUCGAACGGUAACAGGCCGCUGUGAUUACUUCGGUAUGAACUUGGCGCUGACGAGUGGCGGACGGGUGAGUAACGCGUAGGAAUAUACCUAGUAGUGGGGGAUAACAUGGAGAAAUUCAUGCUAAUACCGCAUAUGUCCCAUGGGAUAAAGAGGGCCUCUUCUUGAAAGCUCUUGCUAUUAGAUUAGCCUGCGUCGGAUUAGCUUGUUGGUGAGGUAAUGGCUCACCAAGGCGACGAUCCGUAGCUGGUCUGAGAGGAUGAUCAGCCACACUGGGACUGAGACACGGCCCAGACUCCUACGGGAGGCAGCAGUGGGGAAUUUUCCGCAAUGGGCGAAAGCCUGACGGAGCUAGACCGCGUGAGGGACGAAGGUCCUUGGAUUGUAAACCUCUUUUCUCAGGGAAGAAGAACUGACGGUACCUGAGGAAUCAGCCUCGGCUAACUCCGUGCCAGCAGCCGCGGUAAUACGGAGGAGGCAAGCGUUAUCCGGAAUUAUUGGGCGUAAAGCGUCCGCAGGUGGCACUGCAAGUCUGCUGUUAAAGACUGGGGCUCAACCCCAGGCCAGCAGUGGAAACUGCAGAGCUAGAGUGUGGUAGGGGUAGGGGGAAUUCCCAGUGUAGCGGUGAAAUGCGUAGAUAUUGGGAAGAACACCGGUGGCGAAAGCGCCCUGCUAGACCACAACUGACACUCAGGGACGAAAGCCAGGGUAGCGAAAGGGAUUAGAUACCCCUGUAGUCCUGGCCGUAAACGAUGGAUACUAGGCGUAGCUUGUAUCGACCCGAGCUGUGCCGAAGCUAACGCGUUAAGUAUCCCGCCUGGGGAGUACGCACGCAAGUGUGAAACUCAAAGGAAUUGACGGGGGCCCGCAC